UAAACACAGCCGUGUUAGUUUUUGGGUUUUGGUUUUUUUCCUCAGCAGCCCACUGAGAUGUUUGCAAACAUUCUGCUUUAAUUAAACUACUGGACACACUUGUAUAAUUAGCAUAUAUUAGCAGUUAUCUCGUGCUGUUCUUGCUCUUUGGUGAAAAUCUGUCCAAUAUUAAAUGAAGCAAGGAAGAGCACACAAGUACUCUGAGGUGCUAUUUGCUAGCUCCCUGCUUGGUUGCUUGUACUAACUCACAGCUCCCAUGGUCUUUAAAUUGUCUUACUCUGUGCAGGGAGAAGAGACAGAGAUGCAUCUCCCCCUUGCUCGUGCUGCUUAAAGCUGGUAGGCCUCAUCACAGGCAUGUGCUGCUCUCUGGGCAGGUGAGACAGCAGCAAGAGUCUGGGGUAAAUGCUGAAUCAAUGGCAUGCCAAAAGUCAGCUUCUGGUGUUUCUGUAGGGUGGGUAUACUUGGGAUGGGGUCCUGAAAACAAUAAAAAUGAGGCUGCUUCUAUUUAGCCUGGGAAGCUCUGGCCCUGGAAUGGGGUUAGAUGAAAACAGUGCAGCAGAACCAUCUACACCCAUUUGAGGUUUACAGAACUGAUUUUUUGACUGGGAGAGGAUUUUAAUCCUUGUGUUUGUUAUUAGUGACUUUGUUCAAGUUUCAGUUUAUGGUGCUCGUUCUGCUUCUUAACAACCUCUCUUUUGAGAGAGCAUUUCCAUUAAGUCUUUGGUCCUAAGUUAAACUUCUUAUCUUAAAAAAGCUUAAAACAGGUAACUUACAAGGAAGAAAACAGGGAUGAGGUGAUUUAAAGUGGGCAGUUACUUCACAGGGAGGAAAGCAUAACACUAAUUAGAAGCUUGUACAAAGCUGGAAAUUCAGUUCAGGUAUUCUCAAAGGGAAAUUCAAACACAAUUUUCAAUAGCUGAACUACUGGAAUGAAGUAGCCUUAAAAAUCAAUUUCUUUUUUGUGUUGGUUUUUUUGUUGUUUUGUUUGGGGUUUUGUUUGUUUGUUUAAAUCUCAUUGUUAUGCUAACUUUCUUGUAAUAUUUGUUUUAAUUAAACCAAAUUUAUUUAGGUUUAGUGUUAAGACUAAAAUAAGAUUGCUUAUUUUUUGAAAAGCAACUUGUUUUGCCUUUCUCUAGUCAUAAUUAAUAAAUUCUGAUGUAUGUUUCCUAUUCAAA
rnacentral:lncRNA from 1 species